rnacentral:rRNA from 1 species
AGGGUUCGAUUCUGGCUCAGGAUGAACGCUGGCGGCGUGCUUAACACAUGCAAGUCGAGCGAAGCGCUUAUGAAAGAUUCUUCGGAUGAUUUCAUUUGUGACUGAGCGGCGGACGGGUGAGUAACGCGUGGGUAACCUGCCUCAUACAGGGGGAUAACAGUUGGAAACGACUGCUAAUACCGCAUAAGCGCACAGUACCGCAUGGUACAGUGUGAAAAACUCCGGUGGUAUGAGAUGGACCCGCGUCUGAUUAGCUAGUUGGUGGGGUAACGGCCUACCAAGGCGACGAUCAGUAGCCGACCUGAGAGGGUGACCGGCCACAUUGGGACUGAGACACGGCCCAA